rnacentral:ncRNA from 1 species
CCUUCUGGGACUUCCUUAGUCUUCCCUCUGUCUUCCUUCUGGGUCAAGCAGGUGGGACCCUCCUCAAAAGGAUGCACCAUCGACCGACCGUGAUCUUCUGUGUGGGUUUGAGUGUGAGUAUACCUGUUGGGACCCGAAAGAUAGUGAACUAUGCCUGGUGGAGACUCGUAUCGAUACUGACGUGCAAAUCGUUCGUCAGACUUGGGUAUAGGGGCGAAAGACUAAUCGAACCAUCUAGAAGCUGG